GUCUUCUUGGCUCCGGGCAGGGUGCGCCGAUGGGAAACCCCCAAUCGGCUGGGUGAUUUUUUUUUUUUGGAGGGGGGAGCUGUCCCCCGCAGCACCUGCCUCUCGAGUCUUCCUCUCCCGCUGCUGGACUGACGGGUGGGGCGAGGAAGGAGGGUGGAUGAGGCUUGAGCAAGCGUUGGUCGCCCGGCCUCAGAGGAAGUUCUCCCGGCUCGCCGAGGAGCCGCGUCCGGCCGUCCCCUGGGCCAUGCCGGCUCUGUUCGCUCCGAGCCCCUUCAGGCGCGCCUGCCGACUUAGGGCUCCCGGAGCUCGCCGGCCGCGGAGGGCAGCGCAGCCUCCACGCGGCGCCGCAGGCCUGGCACCGGCCGCGUCCCCGCCUCGCUCUUCUCGGCAGCCGCCUGGCACUUGCAACUAACUUCGCCCAAGUUUCCUGCGCCGCGGCGCCCCUCUCGGCGCGCUCCUGGGAGCGUGCGCCCGCGAGUCCGCCGCGCCCGGGGCCCCUCUGUCCUCGCUGCUGUGGCCAGAGCCGAGCCGGCGCAGGGGCGGAGGUGCUGCAGGAGAGUUAAGGAAAACGGGCCAUCACCUCAGUUCGCAGGUCCGCGCUGUGGCACCUCCCGCUCUCCCCACUCCCGCGGCGCAGGGGGCCCCUUCCCAGCCCAGGCCGCCCUCUGCACCGGCUCAGGGUUUAGGCGAGUGGAGAGUCCGGAGCGCGCCGGGGAGUCUGCGCCCUGUUUGGCGUUGGCAAACCCUGGUGUCAUCCCGGCUACCCAGGCCGGCCUGGCGUGCAGCUGCCCUGGUUGUGGCCCUGGAAUCCUCGCCGGGAGGAAGAAGGCGGCGGGCACGAGUAGGAGAGCCUCUCCAGCUACGGAGGAAGAGGGUUAAACCUGGAGAAGGGGAGACUCACCCUUGAAAAUGUUUGAGACUGUUCCUAGCAAGAAAGUGCUCAUUUUCCUUGGAGGUCCAGGUGUUGCUUGCAACAGAAACAGAGGCUUCUCGCAUUUUCUUGCACUGGCGAUGCACCUAGUCAGAGGUAGUGGAGUGAAAAAUAACUCUGGAGGGAAUAAGGACAUUCUUGGCAACCUUUCCAAAAAAGAGCUAGCCCAGACUGAGAGUAUGCAUCCUUGACUGACUAUUCAGCUCUUUAAAAAUUCUGUGUUGUUUGUCUUUUGUUGUAAUCUUGGUCGCCAGAACCAUCUAUAUACUGAUCUCUUUAAGGUACAGUUAACUUACAGUGUCUCACUUACAUGCGCUGCUGAGGUGAAGGUGUUUAAAAUCAAUAAGUGUAAGUAGUUUCCCUGGAAGAGAGAAGUAAAACGUACCAAUCACUCAGUGCUGGAAUAUUUUUAUGCUAAGCAUAAUUUCCUUCUUUAGUAGUUAGAGCAGUUUUUUAAAAAAAAUAGUUAACACGAUGCAGAAGUCAAACAGCAUGAUUCUGUUUCCGUAUUUUCCUCACUUUUUGGUAUGCUGCGGCACAUUUAGAACAUGAUCUGUCUGGAGGUUUUAUUCACAUGGUGGCCUGCCCUUCAGGGAGAACUUGCUUGCCUUCUUUCUUUGGCAGUUUGGAUUUGACCUAGCCCUGUGGUAUGUGCAAGUAGGAACAUCUACAAACGGUUAACUCUUUAAGUCUUCCUACGAUUUAUGUUCAGUUCAUUCACACACACACACACACACACACACACACACACACAAAAGCUUUGAUUGUAAUUAUGAACGUGAAUUAAAACUGUUUCAGGCCAUCAGAUUUAUGUAAAAGUUAGGCUUGUUUUGUUCAUUUUAAUAAAAGAAUAGUGACUUAAAAAUUACAGUCGUGAUAACAAAACUGUGAACAGCAGUGGCAUCUAUGUGGGUUUUUGUUUUUCUGAAGAUGUCGUAUUGACAAGCUUAUUUUGUAUCGGUUAUGCCCUUGCAUUGUUAAAAUAAUUGGACUGAUUUCUCCAGAACCAUAUUCCUUUACAGGCUCUGUAAAGACACUCUUGUCAUUCACAGACUCUGGCUGGAGCAAUGGGAAAACACUAGCAUGUGUAAUUACAUAGACUGGAAUAUUAAAUAUACUGUUUUGUGAUGAUAAACUACAAAAUUAUCGUCCCUGAGCUUUUCACCUACUGACUUAUAGGUUUGAGACAAAAAUACUAUACACUGGAACAUAAAGAACAUAUGUAUAUAUAGGCCACAAAACAUGAAAUCUGUUAUUCACUAAAUAUUGUGAAUAAAGUUAAAUUUAAUCGUGAAAAUUAUUUUGACACAUAAAAAGGGAGAAGGAUUGUGAAAAUGUGUUUUAUAUUAGUGAGUUAAGUGAUUUUAUACUAUUCAAAUUUAAGUGUAAAAAUCUACUGCAAUAAAUUAUUACAUUAGAAAUGUUUGUAUAUAUGAUUGAAAUGUAUGCUUACAUGUGCAAUGUCUUAUAGGAAUAAUAUAUGUAAGGUUCCUUGGCUAUAGUUUUUUCCAGUAUACAUUUACAAUAUUGUCUGUCUAGUGAUAUUAAAUGAGCCAAAUUUGAACACUCUCAAGUCCAAGAAUGUUGAACUGUGGGAAACAAAGGUGUCAUAAGAAGAAAAUGACUAUUUGUGUGCUUGUCUAUUCACCAAAUGAAACUUCCCACAUUUCAAAAUAGGAAAGAUUUGGUUUUAGUUCUUGGCUUCUAGGGGAUCAAUAUUCUUGGCCUAACCCUUCACAACCAAAGAAAGAGCCCUCAUAAUCGGCCAUUCAUUAAAGAAAGGCAAUGUGGCAUUGCUGUUAUUAACCAGCCUUCACACCUCUUGCCUGAAUCUGGUUGAGCUUUUAACAAAGUAAAUUUUCAAGCCAUUUUCAUUCAUAUGUACCAAAAUGUAAAUUUGCUUUUAAUUUCCUCAUAUCUUGUGUUUGAAUUGAUAGAGGUAUAUUUUUAUUCUUGCUCAGUUUUGUCCUAAAGAUUAAAAAAAUCCCAGCAUAUAGGAAAUGGAAUAGUCUGUGUGAGUGAAUAGUGAAGGAAAAUAAAUUGAAAGAGAAUUGUAA
rnacentral:lncRNA from 1 species